ensembl:lncRNA
CUCUACCUGGAGGUCCCUCUUUUUUGGAGUAUUUGGACACCUGUACCUGGAGAUCAUUGUGUUUCCUAUUGAAAAAGGAGGGGAAGCAGACAACAGGUCGUCUAUUCCCAGCUGAUGAAGGUUUCAAGAAAUUCCAGAAGUUAAACUCUUACCACUCUCAGCAAGACAGCCUGUGCCUCAGGCAUGAUGCCUGGGCUUACCUGUGUUUCCAGCCAAACUUACAGAGCUGGGCUUCCUCAGGCAACAUGAACUUCAUCAGUGCAGCAUUUUUUUGGAGUGUCCAGUUUGAGGUAAGACAGGACUCUCAGACAUGCAUUCUUAAAGUGGAAUACCCCAUGCAGUCUGUUUUCCUGAAGGAUUUACCACUGCAGUUUUUCAUACUAUGUGGGAAUAGUUGGAUCAUCAUAUGGAAGCAGCAGAAGGAGGUGAAAAAAGAAGUGUGCUAUAUCUGCAAGACAAAUGGUAUUAGGAGGCUCCGGUCAGCAAAAUCACUUUAUAGAGGUUUACAGUGUGAACACCCAACAGAUUUUUUACUUUCCUGUCAUAUCGAGAGAGAGAGAAUCUUUUUUCUGAGCAGAGUACUAUUACGGAUACAAUAAUCAGUAUAUACAGUGAAAUUUGUCUGAGACAUCUGAAAUACCUGAUAAAACUUUCUUGGAUGACUACUUUGUGGGUGCUGGGGGCUUUUCAGUCAUCCUUGUUUCUCUAAUAAAAUUGCAAGUCCACUUUUGUAUUGAAUUUCUAUGAGCCAUAUAUUGUCAUUUUGUGCCUGUCUGAAAUAACACUGUAUUGGUGACUUGCUAGUUUCCAAAAAAGUCACGUUCAGAACAUUUUUCUGCUGAAAUUAAAAUUCCUCUGGUGUUGAAUGUAGCAGUUCCAAAAACAACCAAAUCUUUUUCAGUUCCUGGAAUGCCCCAGCCACCCUAAUGUAGCUCAGUCUUUAAGACACGAUACUAUAAAUCAAAGUGUUACAGUAAAUAUCUCUAGCUGCUAAUGGCAUGCUUUUACAACCAUGUGUGCUUUUGUCAUUUCUUUUUCUUCUUAAAAUCUGUAAUAGUUACAGAUUUACAGAGCAGAUGAGUUUGCACUCUAAAUGCUAUCCAAAUUACCUGUAUUUCAGUUGCCCACAGGAGAUGAUUGUCCUGAAGAGAACUUGAUUAUGAGGUCAUAUAGCUCAUUGCACACCAAAAUAAAUUGUGUUCGCUCUCUUUCAGAAUUUGCUACAGUAGAUGCAAGUAAAUCAGUGCUAGCAAACUGUGUGCUGUAGCUUGGCUGUAUUGUAGGCCUUUCUGAAGUGGGUUGAAUAAAGAAAAUCAAAUAUUUUU